rnacentral:tRNA from 1 species
CGGGGUGUUGCCCAGGUGGUAGGGCGGCCUGGUUUAGGUACCCGUAUCGGGUACGGGAUAUCGCUGGUUCGAUUCCAGUCACCCCGA